AACGAACGCUGGCGGCAUGCUUAACACAUGCAAGUCGAACGGAAAGGCCCUGCUUAUGUGGGGUGCUCGGGUGACGAACUGGGGAGUAGCCCUUGGGUACGCUGCACUUGACUUUAGGGUGACUUCAUACCGGUGGAGCUCUUCGCGGCAAGGAUCUCCCGCUGCUGGGUGGGGGUGGGUUGGUUUCGGCGGUUGGGGAGGGACACGCGGCUUAUGAGCUUGUUGGUGGGGUAGUGGCUUACCAAGGUUUGGACGGGUGGGCGGCCUGAGAGGGUGACCGGCCACAUUGGGACUGAGAUACGGCCCAGACUCCUACGGGAGGCAGCAGUGGGGAAUAUUGCACAAUGGGCGGAAGCCUGAUGCAGCAACGCCGCGGGCGGGAUGACGGCCUUCGGGUUGUAAACCGCUUUCGCCUGUGACGAAGCGUGAGUGACGGUAAUGGGUAAAGAAGCACCGGCUAACUACGUG
rnacentral:rRNA from 1 species